rnacentral:rRNA from 1 species
CUAAUAAAUCUACUCUUCAAUAAGCUACUCUUCCUUACCGUUUUCCCCCCCCUUAAUCAUUCUCCACUCUCCUCUCCUUCUUUCCUUCACUUUUCCUAUAACUUUUCUCUAAUUUCCAACCACAUCAUUCCCCCUCACAUAAUAUGUAUUGGGCCUCCUUCCCGAAACACGAUCAUGGAGUCCAGCGUGUGCGCGAGUCAUUGGGUCAACCACCUAAAGGUGCAUUGUAAGUUUCUUCGUAUUCCUUAUAUGCGUAUGCCGCAGGGAAGAGGUGCCCCCUUGUGCUUUCUUUUUUGAGCCCCCCACUCUCCGGGCGUGUUUUUCUCUCUAUGAGUGGAGACGCACCAGGGGCGCACACGCUGUUACCUGAAAGAUGAUGUACUUGCCCGGCCAGGACGAUGCCAGGUGAACCCCUGUAGGAGGUCUGAAGCGGUUUCGACGUGCAAAUCCAUUGUUUGAAUGGGUAUAGGGGCGAAAGGCCAAUUGAAACAUUUUGUAGUUGGUUCCCUUUGAAGUUUCCCUCCGGAUAGGUGGCUUUCGGGAAGAGGCGAGUUUCAUCCGGGAGAGGGAAUGAUUAGAGGUGAGGGGGUCGAAAAGAAUUCAACCUAUUCUCAAAAUCCCCAUAGGUGAGAGCCCCGGCGUGCUUAAAAGUGAAGCCGCGGGACUAGGAUCAGAGAUGCCAAGUGGGCCAAUUUUGGUAAGCAGAAAGGCGCUGGGGAUGAACCAAACGCAGAGUAAGGCGCAUGAUUCGACGCUCACGGAAACCCGAAAGGCGCUGGUCUUCAGACGGCCAGGACCGGGCCAAUAGGUUAU